GACCUUUCCAAUACAGGGUGCUGCAUGGCUGUCGUCAGCUCGUGUCGUAAGAUGUUGGGUUAAGUCCCGGCAACGGAGGGCCAACCCUUUUCCUUAUUUGCCAGCGGGUUAAGCCGGGAACUUUAAGGAUACUGCCAGUGACAAAACUGGAGGAAGGCGGGGACGACGUCAAGUCAUCAUGGCCCUUACGACCAGGGCUACACACGUGCUACAAUGGUCGGUACAAAGGGUUGCUACCUAGCGAUAGGAUGCUAAUCUCAAAAAGCCGAUCGUAGUCCGGAUUGGAGUCUGCAACUCGACUCCAUGAAGUCGGAAUCGCUAGUAAUCGCGGAUCAGAAUGCCGCGGUGAAUACGUUCCCGGGCCUUGUACACACCGCCCGUCACACCAUGGGAAUUUGUUGCACCAGAAGUAGGUAGUCUAACCGCAAGGAGGACGCAUUACCACGGUGUGGCCGAUGACUGGGGUGAAGUCGUAACAAGGUAGCCGUAGGGGAACCUGC
rnacentral:rRNA from 1 species